rnacentral:tRNA from 12 species
AGGCGCGUAGCUCAGUGGGAGAGCGCUUGCUUGACGCGCAAGAGGUCGGCGGUUCGAUCCCGCCCGCGCCUACCA